UGGGGAAUUUUGCACAAUGGGGGAAACCCUGAUGCAGCGACGCCGCGUGAUUUAGAAGGCCUUCGGGUUGUAAAAAUCUUUUCUAUGGGAAGAAAAUGACAGUACCAUAGGAAUAAGGACCGGCUAAUUACGUGCCAGCAGCCGCGGUAAUACGUAAGGUCCGAGCGUUGUCCGGAAUCAUUGGGCGUAAAGGGUACGUAGGCGGGUAAGCAAGUUAGAAGUGAAAUCCUAUAGCUCAACUAUAGUAAGCUUUUAAAACUGCUCAUCUUGAGGUAUGGAAGGGAAAGUGGAAUUCCUAGUGUAGCGGUGAAAUGCGCAGAUAUUAGGAGGAAUGCCGGUGGCUAAGGCGACUUUCUGGCCAUAACCUGACGCUGAGGUACGAAAGCGUGGGUAGCAAACAGG
rnacentral:rRNA from 1 species